rnacentral:rRNA from 1 species
GUAAGGAAUAUUGGGCAAUGGGCGCAAGCCUGACCCAGCCAUGCCGCGUGAAGGAUGACGGCCCUAUGGGUUGUAAACUUCUUUUGUACGGGAAAAAACCACCGGUCGUGACCGGUGCUGAUGGUACCGUAAGAAUAAGCAUCGGCUAACUCCGUGCCAGCAGCCGCGGUAAUACGGAGGAUGCAAGCGUUAUCCGGAUUCAUUGGGUUUAAAGGGUGCGCCGGCGGAAUAAUAAGUCAGUGGUGAAAUCCUACGGCUCAACUGUAGGACUGCCAUUGAUACUGUUAUUCUUGAGUACACUUGAAGUGGGCGGAAUGUGUCAUGUAGCGGUGAAAUGCUUAGAUAUGACACAGAACACCGAUCGCGAAGGCAGCUCACUAAAUUGUAACUGACGCUCAUGCACGAAAGCGUGGGGAUCAAACAGGAUUAGAUACCCGAGUAGUCC